UAUUUCUACUCAUGGCAUUUGUGAACCCUGCCCAGGAGCCCGUGCCGAGCAAUCGCUGUGGGUCUCCAUGGUUGGGAUCCACCGGCAGUGCAUUCCUCACGCGUCGGCCUCCACCCACACAUUGCCCUCGCCAUCACCAUUGCUCCACACCACAGCCCACGCCGCGCUCACGGGAUGUCUGCUCGGUCGUCGCCGUCCUCAGUUCCCCACCCUCUAGCCGCCCCGCUCCCAUCCACGGUCCACCUCGCGCCCAUGACUCCAUGAGAGGUCUGCCCGCCUCGAACCCUACGUGGCAAGCACCUACCCUCAAUGGACUCCUGCCUCAACAUCGAUCAUCGGCUCCUCCAUGGUGACCAGCGGCCUCUCCAUGGUGUAUGGCGAAUCAAGUUCAAUCAAUAUAGGAGCGACUUCAAGGAUGGUGACAAUACGGUGAUUUGAGGGUGGUAGCAAUUCUGCUGUGAUACUUUGUUGUAGAGUGUGAUUACGCCAAAGCAGUGAGGACGGAGUCUCCCUUUGUCAUGGCCGUCGAACGAAAAUGGGGGCGCGAUCCUUGUAUGUUUGUAUGUUUGCAAGAUUUGAUUGUGCUAACGACUUGAUAGCGAAAAUGGAGGUGUUAUCUGUUUGUCAUGCUCUCCUGCAAUAUUUAGUCCUAACUUUGGUUGAGAGAAGGGGAGUACAGUGGAUAGCCAGAACUACAUACUAUCUAGAUGGGUUAGCUUGCUGCUCCACAGGGCAAGUACUAAACUAUCAUUCAUGAAACUACAUCUGUAUGUCCAAAUUAAAGCAAUCUGUUGACAGCAGUGUAAUUAGUAACUCGUAAGACUAAUAGUCACUGGGCUUUGUUUUAAAAUAUCACACUGAUAAAAAGAAAAUAGAGUGCAAUAUAGCCUUAAAUAGCUCCUGUAGGGUGAUUAUAGGUUGCAACAGACAAGCAUGUUCUGUUCUCAUGGACUCAUGCUGAAACAUUUUCAUCUUGAUUUUUAUUCAUUUUCUGGUUCGUUACUUAUCUGUGUUUCACUUAUAUGUUACACAGUGUAAUUGAUUUCGGAAAUGCAUAUCAACUUGUCCCAUAGAUUGAUGGUGAGAAGUUUCCGACCCCAGGACACUCCAAUGGGAUUGGGAUCCUCUGCAGUGAUGAGGAAACACUCCGAUGACAUUAUGAAAGUUUGAAUUAUUAGAGGGUGGCAGCAAGGAUGACAGCCACCUGCUUCCCCAUUUUCGAUCAGAUAUUCAACAGAUGAAUUUGUUGCUUCGGCAACAAGGAUGACACCAAAAUGGUGAUUCAAAGACGAUAGCAAUCAUGUUGGGAUACUUCCUUCAAUCUGAGCUCUGCCGCAUGAUGCUUCAUCAGGCAAUAAGUGGUUUGCUACUGGUGCAGUUUGACUUGGAGCCUCGGGACUCGAUCUUGUCUUGCAACUGUGCUGCUAUCUGAUCUUCAAAUUCAAAGCGGUACGAGCAGUGUGGAGGAAAAACAGAUUUGGAGCAGUCAGCUAAUUAUUGUAUGAGGCAUCUCAGGUAAGGAUGUGUUGGAGAAAAUUUGAGAAAUGGAGCUGUCAACCCAGCUGAAAUGUUUCACUUUUGCUUUCGCGUUGGUGGUGUAUGGGGAACUAGGUAGACACUGAUCGAAGUGAACUGUGAAGAAAUUCUAGCCAUGCAAUGAUCGAAGUAGUUAAGCCACCUUAUGCACAUGGUCAAUUCGAUUGAAUUGGUUUUUUGUUCAAUACAUUGUGUGUUGGUAAAUUUGACCAGCUCGUGAGCUUGUCACCCGCUAGAUUCUGCCCAGGAGGUGCGGGCACUCACGCCGGUCAAA